AUCAUUCAUUCUUCUCUGUGACCUCAAAUUCUCAAAACAUUGCAGGAGACUGGAGUUUCCACUUUUCUGGUUUCGCUUAAUGUAGCUUUAUUAUGUAAAGUAUUCACGUGAACAUCGAGCAAUAAAAACAAUACAACAAUGAAAUAAUAAGUUAAUGUUUUCCUUUCAAAGCUCUAAACUGAUACAAUCUGGAAGAAAACUCCAAGAAGAUGGUUUCUAAAACACAUGACUUGGAGUCGGGAGAUGCUCCAACGCAAGAUGUUGCUGUGGAUUCUUCACCACCAAGUACGACUCCCCAAAUCAGAGAAACUCUUAGCGAAACAACAUUAUUAACAAAUGUCCAGACAUACUUUUCUGAUAAAAAAGUACAAAUCCCUGAAUCAGACAAGGAAAGUUUCAGUUUUAAAAAAUUAUGGGCUUUCACUGGACCUGGUUUCCUAAUGUCUAUAGCAUACCUUGACCCAGGAAACAUAGAAAGCGAUUUGAAGAGUGGAUCUGUUGCCCAGUAUAGGUUAUUAUGGAUUCUGUUAUCUGCUACCUUAUUGGGUUUGAUGAUGCAAAGACUUGCUGCAAGGCUGGGUGUCGUCACUGGACUUCAUCUUGCAGAAAUGUGUUAUAGGCAAUACAAAAAAGUUCCUCGAAUUAUAUUGUGGUUAAUGAUAGAAAUAGCAAUUAUUGGAUCUGAUAUGCAAGAGGUCAUUGGAACUGCUAUCGCUAUAUAUUUACUCUCGAAUAAAUGGAUCGCCAUUUGGCAAGGAGUUCUCAUAACAAUAAUAGAUACUUUCACCUUUUUAUUCCUUGACAAAUAUGGACUCAGAAAAUUAGAACUAGUAUUUGGUACUUUGAUAACAAUCAUGGGAUUGAGCUUUGGCUAUGAGUUCGUGGUGUCCAAACCAAACCAAUACGAGGUUUUAGAGGGAAUGUUCACUCCAUGGUGUAAAGGUUGUGAUUCAAGUGCAUUGUUGCAAGCAGUUGGUAUUGUAGGAGCUGUGAUCAUGCCCCAUAAUUUAUAUCUUCACUCGGCACUAGUCAAAUCCCGUGAUAUCGAUAGAACUAAACCCGCCAAAGUUAGAGAUGCCAACCUUUAUUUCUUUAUAGAAGCUGCAAUAGCCUUAGCUGUCAGUUUUAUAAUUAAUGUGUUUGUGGUCUCAGUUUUCGCACAUGGGUUGUAUCAUACAACGAAUUCGGAACUUAGACAAAAGUGUUCGCAUUAUCCAUCUAUAAAUGGUUCUAUAUUCCCAGACAAUAAUGAGUAUGUUGACGCUGACUUGUACAAGGGAGGUAUAUUCUUAGGGUGUACUUAUGGACUAGCUGCAUUAUAUAUUUGGGGAGUUGGAAUUUUGGCAGCUGGACAAAGUUCCACCAUGACAGGUACCUAUGCGGGACAAUUUUCAAUGGAGGGUUUCCUCAACCUUCAAUGGCCCAGGUGGAAACGGGUAUUCUUCACGAGAUCAAUAGCUAUCAUUCCUACGUUUUGUCUUGCAUUUUUCAGUCAAAUUGAGGAUAUGACCAGUAUGAAUGACAUCCUUAAUGCAAUUAUGAGCUUGCAGUUACCUUUUGCUACAAUACCCACCAUUGCCUUCACCAGUAAUCCUCAAAUAAUGGGAGAGUUCGUGAAUGGAUGGGUAAACAAAGUAGCCUCUAUAUUGUUGAGUAUAGUUGUUAUAGCAAUUAAUACCUUCUUCGUUAUUCAAACUGUACAACACUAUGCUACUUGGCCGUGGUUGGUAUUGGUUGCCAUUGUCGGAGUAUUAUAUUUACUGUUUUGCGUUUACUUGGUGUUGCACAUGGCAGUUUCGAUGGGUUGCGAAGGCCUGCUCAAAUACGACUUCAUCAGCAAUUAUGUCGUUGGACCUGUAAACUCUCAACUUACCGUACAACCAAUUAAUUAUUCAAGAGAGAGUUUGGAAGAAUCUGCAUAGAAUUAACUGGAUUCUAAAGAAAUUCUAGACUUAAAACGUGUUAAUACCUAUGUAACGGCGAAGAAUCCAGAGUUGAUAGAUGAACAACUCAGAGCUGACCCUCCAGAGUAGCGAAACGUUAAGUGAAAAAUUCUAAUUGGAAUACUCAUUCAUUUCAUCCGAAAUCUGAAUACCUAGUUACAGGAUUGCAGGCAAUAUAUUUUGUGAUUGAAUUCUGUUUUUACUCAUUUUACUGUAAAUGUAUGAAAUUUAUAUUCGUUGUGAUUACAAAUACCAUUUUAUUAAACGAUGUUUCCAAUA